rnacentral:rRNA from 1 species
AUUGAACGCUGGCGGCAUGCUUUACACAUGCAAGUCGAACGGUAUCAGGCCGCAAGGUGCUGACGAGUGGCGAACGGGUGAGUAAUGCAUCGGAACGUGCCCAGUCGUGGGGGAUAACGCAGCGAAAGCUGCGCUAAUACCGCAUACGAUCUAUGGAUGAAAGCGGGGGACCGUAAGGCCUCGCGCGAUUGGAGCGGCCGAUGUCAGAUUAGGUAGUUGGUGGGGUAAAGGCUCACCAAGCCAACGAUCUGUAGCUGGUCUGAGAGGACGACCAGCCACACUGGGACUGAGACACGGCCCAGACUCCUACGGGAGGCAGCAGUGGGGAAUUUUGGACAAUGGGCGCAAGCCUGAUCCAGCAAUGCCGCGUGCAGGAAGAAGGCCUUCGGGUUGUAAACUGCUUUUGUACGGAACGAAACGGUCCUGGUUAAUACCUGGGGCUAAUGACGGUACCGUAGGAAUAAGCACCGGCUAAUUACGUGCCAGCCGCCGCCGUAACAC